rnacentral:rRNA from 1 species
UACAGGGGGGGCAAGCGUUGUUCGGAAUUACUGGGCGUAAAGGGUCUGUAGGUGGCCAACUAAGUCAGACGUGAAAUCCCUCAGCUUAACUGGGGAACUGCGUCUGAUACUGGAUGGCUUGAGUGUGGGAGAGGAAUGCGGAAUUCCAGGUGUAGCGGUGAAAUGCGUAGAUAUCUGGAGGAACACCGAAGGCGAAGGCAGUGUCCUGGGGAGUACCUGACGCUCAGGUGCGAAAGCUAGGGGAGUGAACGGG